GCCAGUAUGGUGUAGUGGUUUGAGUGUUGGAUUAUUACACCAGAUAUCAGGGUUCAAUUCCCCACUUGGCU